rnacentral:rRNA from 1 species
GAUGAACGCUAGCUACAGGCUUAACACAUGCAAGUCGAGGGGAAACGAUGAGAGAGCUUGCUCUCUUAGUCGUCGACCGGCGCACGGGUGAGUAACGCGUAUCCAACCUGCCUCUGACCAAGGGAUAACCCGUCGAAAGUCGGACUAAUACCUUAUGCAGUCGUCGGAAGUCAUCUGAUGACGACGAAAGAUUUCAUCGGUGAGAGAUGGGGAUGCGUCUGAUUAGCUUGUUGGCGGGGUAACGGCCCACCAAGGCGACGAUCAGUAGGGGUUCUGAGAGGAAGGUCCCCCACAUUGGAACUGAGACACGGUCCAAACUCCUACGGGAGGCAGCAGUGAGGAAUAUUGAUCAAUGGGCGUAAGCCUGAACCAGCCAAGUAGCGUGCAGGAUGACGGCCCUAUGGGUUGUAAACUGCUUUUAUGCGGGGAUAAAGUGAGGGACGUGUCCUUCAUUGCAGGUACCGCAUGAAUAAGGACCGGCUAAUUCCGUG